UUUCCGUAGGUGAACCUGCGGAAGGAUCAUUAUCACAUACCCGAGGUUCCCUGGCUGUCGCUGACCUGACAGGUGGUGCACGACCGAGUGCGCCCCCACACAUCCAUCUCACCCCUGUGUGUACUACCGCGUGGGUCCCCCUAUGGCUUUUUCGGAGGGUAGCUCACGCUUUCACACAAACUUUGUAUGCAUUAUAGAAUGUAUUUUUCGUUUCAGCGCUCACACAAUCAAUACAACUUUCAACAACGGAUCUCUUGGCUCUC
rnacentral:misc_RNA from 1 species